AGUUCCUGGUUGAGCUUGACCCUAGCUGGCACUGUGAAGAGACAGGAGAGGUGCAGAAUACGUGGGAAGCCCCCAGGCUGCUGGUGAAACACCGCUACUUCUCUCCUUAUUUCACUUACCCGGUGGGGGGAGCCCCAAGUGCCUGGCACAUGCUGGGCACGACCCGCUCUGGGGACAGCGUCAGGAGGGGAGUUCAACCGGGGCGCUGCACCUGUCCCACCGCAGUGCAGGUGUCCUAAGGCGAGCUCAGGGAGGACAGAAACCUCCCGCGGAGCAGAAGGGCAAAAGCUUGCUCUGUCUUGAUUUUUGGGACGAAUGCAGCUGUGAAAGCGGGGCCUCACAAUCCUCCUGGCUUCUGGAGUUCAAAGCAGGAGGCGUCAGAAAAGUUACCCCAGGGAUAACUGGCUUGUCUUUAUGCAAGCU
rnacentral:ncRNA from 1 species